CUCCAAACACAUACACAAUACGCUCUCCUAGCUCUUUGGUCACUUAUGGAGACACCAGAAACAAGUUAGAAGUAAACACAGUGCAAGCAUGUCAUUAAAUUUGCUUUUGCUGCACAGAACAUGCAAGAGCUCCUUAGUAGGGCCCUGUGCAUGUUCUGCCCUGGAAGAGCAUUGAACCGAAACGCUCACUUUGAGAGGGGUGUGCAUUCUUUUGAAAAGGAAGUGGCUUAGGAGGCAGGCUUAUAGUUACAUAGUUACAUAGCUGAAAAGAGACUUGCGUCAAUAAGGUUCAGC